rnacentral:rRNA from 1 species
GACGAACGCUGGCGGCGUGCCUAAUACAUGCAAGUCGAGCGGACAGAAGGGAGCUUGCUCCCGGAUGUUAGCGGCGGACGGGUGAGUAACACGUGGGUAACCUGCCUGUAAGACUGGGAUAACUCCGGGAAACCGGAGCUAAUACCGGAUAGUUCCUUGAACCGCAUGGUUCAAGGAUGAAAGACGGUUUCGGCUGUCACUUACAGAUGGACCCGCGGCGCAUUAGCUAGUUGGUGGGGUAAUGGCUCACCAAGGCGACGAUGCGUAGCCGACCUGAGAGGGUGAUCGGCCACACUGGGACUGAGACACGGCCCAGACUCCUACGGGAGGCAGCAGUAGGGAAUCUUCCGCAAUGGACGAAAGUCUGACGGAGCAACGCCGCGUGAGUGAUGAAGGUUUUCGGAUCGUAAAGCUCUGUUGUUAGGGAAGAACAAGUGCGAGAGUAACUGCUCGCACCUUGACGGUACCUAACCAGAAAGCCACGGCUAACUACGUGCCAGCAGCCGCGGUAAUACGUAGGUGGCAAGCGUUGUCCGGAAUUAUUGGGCGUAAAGGGCUCGCAGGCGGUUUCUUAAGUCUGAUGUGAAAGCCCCCGGCUCAACCGGGGAGGGUCAUUGGAAACUGGGAAACUUGAGUGCAGAAGAGGAGAGUGGAAUUCCACGUGUAGCGGUGAAAUGCGUAGAGAUGUGGAGGAACACCAGUGGCGAAGGCGACUCUCUGGUCUGUAACUGACGCUGAGGAGCGAAAGCGUGGGGAGCGAACAGGAUUAGAUACCCUGGUAGUCCACGCCGUAAACGAUGAGUGCUAAGUGUUAGGGGGUUUCCGCCCCUUAGUGCUGCAGCUAACGCAUUAAGCACUCCGCCUGGGGAGUACGGUCGCAAGACUGAAACUCAAAGGAAUUGACGGGGGCCCGCACAAGCGGUGGAGCAUGUGGUUUAAUUGGAAGCAACGCGAAGAACCUUACCAGGUCUUGACAUCCUCUGACAACCCUAGAGAUAGGGCUUUCCCUUCGGGGACAGAGUGACAGGUGGUGCAUGGUUGUCGUCAGCUCGUGUCGUGAGAUGUUGGGUUAAGUCCCGCAACGAGCGCAACCCUUGAUCUUAGUUGCCAGCAUUCAGUUGGGCACUCUAAGGUGACUGCCGGUGACAAACCGGAGGAAGGUGGGGAUGACGUCAAAUCAUCAUGCCCCUUAUGACCUGGGCUACACACGUGCUACAAUGGACAGAACAAAGGGCUGCAAGACCGCAAGGUUUAGCCAAUCCCAUAAAUCUGUUCUCAGUUCGGAUCGCAGUCUGCAACUCGACUGCGUGAAGCUGGAAUCGCUAGUAAUCGCGGAUCAGCAUGCCGCGGUGAAUACGUUCCCGGGCCUUGUACACACCGCCCGUCACACCACGAGAGUUUGCAACACCCGAAGUCGGUGAGGUAACCUUUAUGGAGCCAGCCGCCGAAGGUGGGGCAGAUGAUUGGGGUGAAGUCGUAACAAGGUAGCCGUAUCGGAAGG